rnacentral:rRNA from 1 species
AUGGGCGCAAGCCUGAUCCAGCCAUGCCGCGUGCAGGAAGAAGGCCUUCGGGUUGUAAACUGCUUUUGUCAGGGAAGAAAUCUUCUGGGCUAAUACCCCGGGAGGAUGACGGUACCUGAAGAAUAAGCACCGGCUAACUACGUGCCAGCAGCCGCGGUAAU